GGGCACCUUGACGUCAAUUUGACAUCAACAAAUAGUCAAGAUUUUGACCACCAUGUAUAACGUGCAUGAAUAUGCAUAUUUUCAUUAUAUUUUGUAAUUAUUUCCUUGUGGUUGUAAAGAGGCCCAACAAAGGUAUCGAUCUGACAUGUUUUUUUCUGGUCCCUAUAUCUCAGGUCAAUAUCAUUGACAUUAAAUCGAUGUUGAUUUGAUGUCAGGAAAUAAGAUGUCAAAUUGAUGUUAAAUUUAUGUCAAAACAAUGUCUGUAAAAGUAUAUUUAUUACUCAUUGUAAAUCAAUGAGACUCAUUUUUAACAUCUUGAAAGUUGUAGGUCUAUGUAUUUUGCAUGUGUUUUUUUUAUUUAUUUAAAUCCUAGCAUGUUUACAAGUAGUUCACAUUUAAAAUGACACUAUAAUUGCAUAUACUAUAAAAGGUCAAUUUAAUCUGAUAUCGAAGCUUGAUAUUGAAUGAUCCAAGCAGUCAUAUGACCGACCUUCAACGUUGAAAUUUGGUUGAAAAAGCUUAGUUGUUUGUUCAACGUUGACACAACGUUGAAACAACAGUGAAUGGUAAACAGUUGCAAAGGGUCAAUAAAAUAAAUGUUUAAUGACAUUGUAAUUUGUGAAUCAUUCAGUAAAAAGCUGUAAAAACUCGUUUUAUGAAACUGAUAAAAAUACUAUUUAAAAAUUUACCAAAAGUAAUUGGGAGAGUUAAAAAUGUAAUAGACACAUGCAAAUAAACUAUUAUUAUUGUUGUUUUAUUGUUAUUAUAUUUUCAUCACAGUGUCUUAAAUAUAACAUGUUAAAUAUAAAUUUUAAGAAUACCAUUAAUAAUAAAAUACAUCAUGACUUUUAUCGGUUUAAUUCAUACAAGUCAGUUUGGAAUGUUUGAUCCUGACUAAAAAAGUAGCGAGGUAAUCUCGCGAGAUUACAGCCUCCCCAUAUAGAGAUUACACGAGACUGGAGAGUUUAACGGCUGUCUGCGUGAUCAUCGAGAAAGUGCAUUGAGAGCCCUUCAAAUUAAAAAUAGUGAUGGUGAUCUUGUCAAUGCUGAGAUUUUAAUGCAUCAACAGCCAUUACAUCUGGCUGGAUCAGGAUUGAACAAGAAUCAGACAGCAAGGGUUGUCACAUCAGAAACGUAAUAACACAAACAUAAGAAACUUCACAGGGCUGUGACAGUGACAGUAUUUUACCACCGCGAUGGUAAUGCACCAAUUCACCACUGUGGUGCGGUGGUUAUAGAAUGUGUUUGUGUGAGGGGGGAGGCGGCAAUUUCUUUUUCCGCCGGUGGGUGCUCAUCACAACCUCAAGCUUUACUUCGCAAUGCCAGGUGCUCUAGAGUCUGGAGCGCUCAAAGGCUUUGAAGAGGUGGAAAGUGGCGCAGUCACGUUUUCGUGUGAAUUGUGAAGUUAAAGGCAGAUCACCGUGCAACUUGGUGAAGUCAUGUGUCUUUCCAGAUGGCCAAAUCUGUACCCCUCAAAAAAACUUUAUUAAAUGCCAUGAUAGACAAGAUGAGCCUUAAGAGGAGAUUUGGGAAGAUGCUGUUUCAUAAGUCUUUGCUUUGCCAGAUUAUUUGUGGUUGGGGUGUCUGCCAACGUGAUGCCUUGCUGGUCUGGUUUGAGUUUGAAGUCUC